rnacentral:rRNA from 1 species
UACGAGGGGGGCGAGCGUUGUUCGGAAUUAUUGGGCGUAAAGGGUGCGUAGGCGGUUUGGUAAGUCUGAUGUGAAAUCUAUGGGCUCAACUCAUAGUCUGCAUCGGAAACUGCCGGGCUUGAGUAUGGGAGAGGUGAGUGGAAUUCCUGGUGUAGCGGUGAAAUGCGUAGAUAUCAGGAGGAACACCUGUGGCGAAAGCGGCUCACUGGACCACGACUGACGCUGAGGCGCGAAAGCUAGGGGAGCAAACAGG